rnacentral:rRNA from 1 species
GUGCCAGCCGCCGCGGUAAUACGGAGGAUGCAAGCGUUAUCCGGAAUGAUUGGGCGUAAAGCGUCCGCAGGUGGCUGUGUAAGUCUGCUGUUAAAGAGUGAGGCUCAACCUCAUAAAAGCAGUGGAAACUACACGGCUAGAGUGCGUUCGGGGCAGAGGGAAUUCCUGGUGUAGCGGUGAAAUGCGUAGAUAUCAGGAAGAACACCGGUGGCGAAAGCGCUCUGCUAGGCCGCAACUGACACUGAGGGACGAAAGCUAGGGGAGCGAAUGGGAUUAGAAACCCGGGUAGUCC